CGGGUAUCUCCGUGGUACCAUCUCCGUGCAAUUAUGCAGUAUGGCGUUCAUCUCUUACGGAAAGAGAAUGGUAACUUGUUGCUGCUUGGGACAAUAAAGUUAAGUCAGCAACCGUCUACCAGACUGCAAGAUUCAUCUCUUCCAAAGGAUGUCGUACCUUUCCAGAUACACUGUGUUUUGUGUGGAUAAGAAAUGCAGAGUGGUACCACCAAUCACCUAAGCCACCAUUCCCCUAACAGACAAUAGGCUCAUGGGGACAGUUCCUGCAAUUUACAGAAAAGCUCUCAAUUGUAGCCCUAUGAA